rnacentral:rRNA from 1 species
UAGGGAAUCUUCCACAAUGGACGCAAGUCUGAUGGAGCAACGCCGCGUGAGUGAAGAAGGCUUUCGGGUCGUAAAACUCUGUUAUUGAAGAAGAACGUGUGUGACAGUAACUGGUCAUGCAGUGACGGUAUUCAAUCAGAAAGUCACGGCUAACUACGUGCCAGCAGCCGCGGUAAUACGUAGGUGGCAAGCGUUGUCCGGAUUUAUUGGGCGUAAAGCGAGUGCAGGCGGUCUUUUAAGUCUGAUGUGAAAGCCUUCGGCUUAACCGAGAAGGGCAUCGGAAACUGG